GGCUUAAUAGUCAAAGUAAUGAUUUUAAAUUGCAAAUUUAAAGGUGAAUAAUUUUUUAAGCUU
rnacentral:tRNA from 1 species